rnacentral:lncRNA from 1 species
GGGCAGAUCGGCCCUCCAUCAUGCGCAGAGGCAGGAAGGGGAGUGGCCAAAGAAGGCUGGUCAGGGCGUGGGUCUUGAUUCCAGGAGGCAUCAAUGUUCCUUGUUUAGUAAAUAAGCCGGUUCAUCUUUAUUCACGGAGUGUCUCCGUUUGCCUGGCCCUGGAGAUGGAAAGCUGAAUGAGGACAGCUGAGUCCCAGCUCCUGUGGAGAAGGCAGGAGACAGACAGAGUUAACUUGUGUGCCAAUAACCUCAGAGGGUGCUGGGAAGGAAACAGACAAGCAAGAUGAUGGACCCUGGGUCAUUCCUGAGGAUACGUGACAAUUGUCUGGAGGUUGUAUGGUGAGCAGUUACCCCAGGAAAAGACCCAGGGACCUGGACAUCAACACAGGAACCAGCUAGAGCCCCAGAGUAAGAACAAACUGAAGACUUUGAGAUCUGACAGAAGCCAGGGAGCGUGGACUUUAAUAAGGUCUGGAGACAUGCUGAUCUUUCAGAGUUUAUAGGCCUUAUUCACGCCGCAGCUCUCUGUGAUGCCGGGCUUCCUCUAUGGAACAGAACCAUCUAGUGAAACCCUCAACUUCCAACGCCUAGGUUAUUUGUAUCUUUUCUAUUAAAAGGCUGAGUUUAAAUC